UCCUCUGACCCCUUUUGUCAUUAGCCUCUCCCCUGAGAGAUCUCCACCGCCCUCCCCAGCCGGCAUAUAAAUCCCCACUGCUUUUCCAAACCUCCCGACCGGCCGCAUGCAGCGUGUGUUCGUGUGUGUAUACAUAUAAACAUCCUCUUCCUAGGCCAGGCCAGAGUUUGUGAAGAGAAUAAACGCUUCCUUUCUCUCCUCCCCCAGUGCACUUGUCUCUCCUCCCAGCCCGACACUGCUGCAGGCUUGGUAAUGUAAUAUUCACAGACCCCGAGACCGGAAAUGCCUGGUUCUGGACUGCUGCACUUGAAACACAAGAGAAAGGAUACGAACUGAACACGGGGGUGAGGGAGAAGGCCAUCCCCUCCAUCCUCUUGUCACAGACCCCACCCCGGUCAGACCUCAAUGUAGAGGAAGUGCUGGCUCUCCCUGAUGGUGUGCAGCCUCUAGUGCCCGCAGGAGGGAGUGAGCACCUUGGUGAAGUUCCAGCGCUGGAUGAAGUGCCGGGCGAGGUCCCGGGCUGGGGGGCCGUGGACAACCACCCCAACAUCCCG